CCAAAAUCAAUAAAAGAUAACAACACCUAACUAUCACAAAAUGUAAUGUCCAAGACAUUACUUGAGUGUUUAAAAUGUAAAUUAAGUUAAAUAAAUAAUUAGUGUUAGCAAAAUGGUAAGAAAACACUUUGAAAAACUCAAAUAUGAGUUUCUGAGAGUCGUGUCCGGACGGGAGCUCCAGAGAGUUAGAAUUUACUUUCUGGGGGUUGCGUCUGGACGGGCUACACCUCUGUCCAAAAGGCUACCAUAGAAUGUAAUUUUGGGACUUUUAAUAUGCACGUUUGGACAGCCACUUACUCCGUCCGGACGGGAAGCGAUAUAAAAGCGAAAUGAGCGAUUUUUGGCUCAUUUCUUCUGGAUUCUUCCACCCCCUACAUGAUUUCUCUUGGGUUUUUACCGCAAAACCCUUGAUCCACGAAGAUCCAAGCCUCCAACCUCAAAUCUAACCUUGGAAACGUGAUCUAUGAAGCCCGAUCUACGUUUCUACCGAUUGGUUUGAGGUUUUACAUGUUUUGGAGCUUCCUAAACUUUCUCCAAGCUCCGGGUUGCACUUGGACGAAUUUUGGUACUUCCUCAUUCACCAAGAACCUUGGAACUCUAGUGAAGCCUCAUGUACCCACUGUGGAUCUUGAUCCAACAGCUUGUUAUUCGAUAGAUCAUUAAAAUAAUAAAAUAUGCAAAGUCACAUGCGCAAACAAGUAAAUAAAGUAGUAAUCAUAAUAUAAUAGGAAAAAUCCACCAACUUCAUCCUCAGUAAGUAUAGAGAUACUUACAAUUUCUACUCCAAAGCUUACGUUCAGAAAAUGCAUAAUUGUAAUCAUGUGAUAAUACUAAAUUAAUAAAAAGCAUUAUGAGAA